rnacentral:rRNA from 1 species
AGAGUUUGAUCCUGGCUCAGGACGAACGCUGGCGGCGUGCCUAACACAUGCAAGUCGAGCGGGGACAUGGAGGAGCUUGCUCCGAAAUGUUCUAGCGGCGGACGGGUGAGUAACGCGUGAGCAACCUGCCUCGAACUGGGGGAUAACGCAUCGAAAGAUGUGCUAAUACCGCGUAAGACCACGGUACCGCAUGGUACAGGGGUCAAAGGAGCAAUCCGGUUUGAGAUGGGCUCGCGUCCGAUUAGCUAGUUGGUGAGAUAACAGCCCACCAAGGCGACGAUCGGUAGCCGACCUGAGAGGGUGAUCGGCCACAUUGGGACUGAGACACGGCCCAAACUCCUACGGGAGGCAGCAGUGGGGAAUAUUGCACAAUGGGGGAAACCCUGAUGCAGCGACGCCGCGUGAGUGAAGAAGUAUUUCGGUAUGUAAAGCUCUAUCAGCAGGGAAGAAAAUGACGGUACCUGACUAAGAAGCCCCGGCUAACUACGUGCCAGCAGCCGCGGUAAUACGUAGGGGGCAAGCGUUAUCCGGAUUUACUGGGUGUAAAGGGAGCGUAGACGGUUAAGUAAGUCUGAAGUGAAAGCCCGGUGCUCAACGCCGGGACUGCUUUGGAAACUAUUUAACUGGAGUGCAGGAGAGGUAAGUGGAAUUCCUAGUGUAGCGGUGAAAUGCGUAGAUAUUAGGAGGAACACCAGUGGCGAAGGCGGCUUACUGGACUGUAACUGACGUUGAGGCUCGAAAGCGUGGGGAGCAAACAGGAUUAGAUACCCUGGUAGUCCACGCCGUAAACGAUGAUUACUAGGUGUCGGGGGUUAUGAACCUUCGGUGCCGCAGCAAACGCAAUAAGUAAUCCACCUGGGGAGUACGUUCGCAAGAAUGAAACUCAAAGGAAUUGACGGGGACCCGCACAAGCGGUGGAGCAUGUGGUUUAAUUCGAAGCAACGCGAAGAACCUUACCAAAUCUUGACAUCCCUUUGACAGAGUAUGUAAUGUACUUUUCCUUCGGGACAGAGGAGACAGGUGGUGCAUGGUUGUCGUCAGCUCGUGUCGUGAGAUGUUGGGUUAAGUCCCGCAACGAGCGCAACCCUUGUCUUUAGUAGCCAGCAUUUCGGAUGGGAACUCUAGAGAGACUGCCAGGGAUAACCUGGAGGAAGGUGGGGAUGACGUCAAAUCAUCAUGCCCCUUAUGAUUUGGGCUACACACGUGCUACAAUGGCGUAAACAAAGGGAAGCGACCCCGUGAGGGUGAGCAAAUCCCAAAAAUAACGUCUCAGUUCGGAUUGUAGUCUGCAACUCGACUACAUGAAGCUGGAAUCGCUAGUAAUCGCGAAUCAGAAUGUCGCGGUGAAUACGUUCCCGGGUCUUGUACACACCGCCCGUCA